rnacentral:lncRNA from 10 species
CUGGCUGUAGAGUAUCUGGUCGUGACUGGAUACUGCAGUUUCUGGAUCUCAUCCUCUGGGGGUGGACAGGUUUUUCCAUCUUGCUGGUAGUGAACUGAUGUCCGGAAGUUUGAUGGCUGAAGAGUAUACCGUUGUGCAUAUAUCCUUCAAUUCCUGCAUUUUUUAAUCUGUAGAAAGACAAGUAGGUUGAUUCCCCAUCUUAGUUAUUGUCCAGAGUACUUCAUGAAACAUGAGAGGGAGAUACCUCCUUAAGGUAGGUUUGGUUGGCUUUGCAGGUAUACCCAGUGUUGGGAUGGCUAGAGGAACUGGUGGUUGUGUUAAUUGUUUCAGAAACCUCCAGCUGUCUCCCAGCAGGUAUACGAAUUUGCAUUCAAACCAGUAGUGUGUAAUAGUUCCUCUGUCUGCAAAUCUACACUGCCCUUAUCUUCCAAAGUUUUAUUGCUGUUUCUGGUCAUACUCGUUCUCUGGGAAGAAACUCUUCUGAUGUGGACAAACUUUUCUAUUACCUGAGAGUCUGUUUCAGGUUUUUUCAGAAAUGGCUAUGCCAGUCCUUUGGGCAUUUUUAGCAUGUGUUUUGGUUUUUGUAUUUUUGUCCACUUAGGACCAUUAGUUUCUUGAGUAUGUUAGAUAAGAAGCCCUUCCAGAUUGACAGUUUUUCAUAAUUUUCUUCUAGUCUGCAAGAUGCCUUUUAUUUGGGUUCAGUAUUUUCUGUCCUGUGUUGAAGCUGCGUGAAGCUCUGAAGUUGUCCUUAGUCUCACAUGGUCACAUUAGCUUUUGUUAGUGGUGAUUUCUGUGUCCCUUUGAGAAGAAAAGUGAGAUGGCGAAGCCAUUGUAUGGUCUAUGGGUAUUUGGUUCCUAUGUCUUCCUUUUCUGUUUGUGGCUUAGGUUCACAGGUUCAAGUUUACCCACAGUAGACACACACCCUACGUGUUUUCCUUGGAGAUUUUGGUUUCAGGAUUGAACUUAGGUGUUCAGUAGAUUUUGUGUCGCUUUUUGUGUCUUGGGUAAAGGAAAGGUUCGGUCCUUUGCACGUGACCCCUCAGUUUCCUCAACCAUUGUGCCUUUGGUGUGCUUUUGGAGGAACAACAAGAAUCCCAUGGGUUCAGUGUUUAUAAUUGUGGGUUGAUUAUUUGGCUCCUUCGUUGUGUCCAUUCGGUUGUCUUUCUGUGUUCAUGCCACUAAUGGAUGGAUUGGGUCACUGUAGGCUUUUUGUUUUGUUUUGUGUGUUUUCUUCCUUUUUUCUAUUUUUAUUUCCAAAGCUGGGUUUUCUAAAAUGAUAGCUACUUUUAUUGUGAUCGAGGGGUACGCCUGCAGGUUCAUUUCACUACAUGGCUAUACAGUAGAAUUUUGAUGCUUGGGGUCCUAACGUACCUGUCACCCAGGCGGUGAACACAGCACCAGUUGGGUCUUUCUUCCUCCAAGGCUCCCUGUCUCCCUUUUUUUUCUGUCUGGAAGUACCCAGCGUCUCUUGAUUUCAUCUUUAUGUUGAUGUGUAUUGGGUGUUGCGCUUCCACUUAUAAAUGAGAACCUGCAGUGUUUGGUCUUCUGUUCUUGCCUCAGUUGCUUAGCAGAGUGGCCUCCAGUUCCACCCAUGUUCCUACCGAGGGCAUGAUUUUGUUUCUGUGUUUGAUUUUCCUUAGUGGCUUUUUAGCAUUCUGUGAUGUAUAGGAACCACAUUUUUAAAAAUCCAGUUUUCUGUUCGUGGGCAUCUAGAUCAGUUCCACAUCUUUAUUCCUGUCAGUAACACUCCCGUGGACGUGUGAGUGUCAUGUGUCUUUUUGAUAGACGCAUGUGUUUUUCCCUGGGGUAGAUGCAUGGGGUAGGAUUGCUGGGUCAAAGCAUAGCUCUGCCUUCCAUCCUUUUUUUUUUCCAGAAAUCUUCAGACUGGUUUCCACAGUUUAGGAUCUAGUUUGCAUUACCUCCAAGAGAAUAGCCAUGUUUGCUUUUCUCUGCUGCCACACUGUAGCAUGUUAUGUUUUGACUUGGGACAAAUGGCCACUCUGACCAGCAUGUGAUGGUACUGGUACCUCAUCUCUGAUGAUUAGUGAUGUUGAGCGUUUCCCAUGCCUGUUGGAAUGGCAAUCCGUUGGAAAUGUCUUCUCAGUUACUACCCAUAUGUAUGUUGCUCAGGCCACUGUGUGGCCCCAGCACUGUUGGUUUGCAUCGGGACUUGGGGAUUGUUUGUCGUUGUUAGCCAAGACAAAUGUUACACUGCUGUUCCUACAGUGAGUAGUGGGAGUGGGGUAUGGGGACAUAUGCUUAUGCCCACAGUUCCAUCAGAAAUCCCACUGCCUUAAGACAGUCUCACGGGAACCCAGUCCCAGCCUUGCAGCACUGGGUAGCCCUGUGGCAUUUUGACUUUGGAUGUAUCUGCAUUGUUGAAGUCACUCAGCAUGUUGCCAUGCAUUUAUCCACUUAGGUCAAUGUUAAGGGAAGUUCAUCGCCUCUGCUUCUUCAGUAACUGAUGUCUGGUGCAUCAACUGAAUGCAUUUCAGGCUUUUAAGCAGUUCCCACGGAUCUAUGGGUAAAAAAGGCUUUCACCAUGCCCACCUACUCAGUGAGUGACCAAUGUCUCAUUGUUAGUGCAUCUGAUGCACAGAGUUUAGUGGUCUGAGGGAGGUCAGUCGCCAAGCAGAGAUUGAAAUCACAUUUGUAUUUACAUUAUUACUUUUCUACAGCUUGGUUCCUUGCAGGGUUUCACACUAUUUAGUCUGGAUUGAAUCCUUGAAUUACUUUACUUUGUCUACCAAGGCUUUCAAAGAACUUGAUAAACUUGUUCUAAUUAGCCAACAUAUUCAUCCAUGAUGUCCGUAUACCAGGUCUAAAAAUAAAACAUUUCUUAAUGCACACAGGACAUGGAAGGCAAUCUACACAUUUUCAAGUGUAGACUUUGCUUGUGACUCUUUUGUGAGGAAUAGUCAUUGUUACUUUAGGAAAACCCUGAGUUUAUCCAACUCUUGUUAGAAUUGGAUAAGUGUAAAAACCUACAAUAGAAUGCAAGUGUGAGAGCCAAGUCCUCUGGUAAAAUAAACUCAUAUUAUUCUUUAUAUAUGUCUGGUCAUUGUAUUAAUAAAAUCAGUUUGUUUUGGCUGAAACACAUGGUUGGCCUUUACAAUAGAUGUGAAAAUGGGCUUAUAGAUCAUUGCUCUUUAUUGUGAAUAUUAGGUUGUAUUUAUUGCCAAACUCUUUCAACAGCUUCUAAGCAGUGAAUUUCAGUGUGUUGUUGUUGUUCUCCAAGCACAAGCAGCUACUUCAGUUUUACCACAUUCAUCUCCCACACACUGAUGAACCAUAUGGAGACAGCAGGAACUGCAGUAGAACCAGAGGGAGUAGUUAGGACAGACACUCUGAUUCAUUCAUUCUGAUUCUCACUGUUGUCAGUGAGUAAAGGUCAUUGAAUUUUUCUUCUGAUGAAUAAAAUGGACAAUUUUCUCAGUGCAAUGGCUUACUUUUGGAAGAGCAGCCCUAAAGA